CUGUGUGAUUCCACAGAAAAGGACAGCCACAACGCCUGGUGAGAGAUUUAAAAAAAAAAAGAAAGAAAGAAAGAAAAAUCAACGGGGAAAAAAAAGAAGCAGGAAAAAAAUCCCCCGCUGAAACAAAAACUAAAGAAACUUUAAUUUACUUACUGAGAGUAAGCAAAGAACAAUCUGGAUAGGAAAGAUGUCGACUCUAUCAUGAGGCUGCUCCAGGUAAUUAUACAUCCACGUGCUCAAAUCACUAUGGGGGGGCGUUGCCAGAAGCUACAGUUCCUGGAGGACAUGUCAUCUUCAUAACACAAGGCACAAGGUACUCCCCUAUGGACAAAUCCAAUGGGAAACCAGAAGGCAAAAGAACCUGUGAAAUCUUCCAUACAAAUCAGCCUCCUGGCGCCCAAAGGAGGGUGGAGAAGGGUGCGGUGACAGACUGGCUGGCUCAGGAGGGGCGCAUGGGGGAGAGUACACAGACUGCCCCCCCCAGUGGGACCCUUGAAAUCACAGACAGCAGGUUCACCAGGGCUGCCUCUAACUGGACACGGCCUAAGAAAUGACAAUGAACUAACCGAAGACCUUGGGUACAGGCAUCUA